CUUUCGUGGAAGUUCAAGGGAGCCUAUGCCUCAGGCGUUCACCCUCUGCCCCCAGGGUAAGGCCCCCUACUCAGAGGAGCCUGGGGGACUGCACCCUCCAGGGCUGGUCCAAGACAAGAUCCUCCUUAAAUUGGCUCCACCCCUUUUCAGGUUCUUCCCCCACGCAUCACCCCAGGUCAGUCUAUCCAGACGGAGGGAACCCGGGCUGGGACCAUGGCACGAUGCAUCUAAGAGAAGGUGAGGCCAGUGGCCAGAGCGCCCACGCCCCCAGGCAGAGGUGUGCCGACUCCCUCAUCCCCACUGCACAAGCACCGACGGAAGAGAUGCUGUGUCGCCAGCACUCCGGCUAACAACCGGCCUUUGUCAAGCUUGCUUCCUAACAAGGGCUGCCAACGCACGGCUCGCUACGGUCAGGCGGUGCUGCACAUCCAGACAAGCAAGGAAGCAAAACAAGCAGAGUCUGAUCUCUAGAAGUAUGGUCGAGGGGAUCCUCCUGGAAGAGCAGAAAAAUCAACCCUCCGGCAGCUUCCAGAACCUUCGGCUCAUCGGCAGGCAGCUUGCCUGGCUCUGCUUCUGCCAACCCCACGUGUUACGCUGAGUAUUUCAAAGUGUUCGAACCACGUUCUUGCAGCUCAGAAACUCUGCCACCUCUUGCAGUGAACACUCUCCUGCUCUUCUGGCACGUACGCACCAUUCAUAGGACCACGACGUCUUCCUCAGAAAGAAAUCAGGUGGUGAGAAUAGGGUCAGAGGCCGAUUUCCUGAUUGACGAGCAGGUCUCUGAUCCGCUCUUGACCCACUGCCGGUAAACUGUUGUUGGGAAUGUUUCCCAGCCUCCUUUGCAGGAAAAUGACGACUGUCCCUCCUGGUCUAUUUCACGUUGUGCUAUGGUACCCACCUGACAGAGCACAGGUAAAGAUACUUGGGAA